rnacentral:misc_RNA from 1 species
GAUAAAUGACAUUCCUUGGCCACUAAACUGGGUUAUGACUAAGCUCGUCUCUACCUUGCAUCAUUCAAGAGUAAACUAACUUUGUAGAGAUUGCUCUAAGAACAUAGUGGCUUCAUGUAGAUGCUUUUCCUUAACAAAAUGAUCACAAUAAGACAUUUGUUCAAAAACAUAAAGUUGAGGCACAAGGCUACUAGUGAUAAAAGAAAGCGUGAGCAAGGCUUAAAAGUGUUAAAACAUGC